GGCGAUAGCGAAGAGGUCACACCCGUUCCCAUACCGAACACGGAAGUUAAGCUCUUCAGCGCCGAUGGUAGUCGGGGGUUUCCCCCUGUGAGAGUAGGACGCCGCCA
rnacentral:rRNA from 1 species